rnacentral:rRNA from 1 species
UAAAGUCAACUUAUACUCAACCUACACAUGCAAGUCUCAGCACCCCUGUGAGAACGCCCUAAAAUCCCCACUUGGGAAAAGGAGCUGGUAUCAGGCUCAAUUUCUAGCCCAAAACACCUAGCCAUGCCACAUCCUCAAGGAACUUCAGCAGUGACCAAUUUUGAAUUAUAUGCGACAGCAAGAUUCAGUUAGAGUACAAAGAGCCGGCAAAAUUGGUGCCAGCCGCCGCGGUUAUACCAAUAGACUCAAGUUGACUUCAAUCGGCGUAAAGCGUGAUUAAAGUUUCUACUCAAUUAAAGAUGAAACUCCACUAGGUUGUGACACGCUUGUGUCUGAGAAAAUCAAAAUCGAAAGUUACUUUAAUUAACUCCACU